UGUACAGCUCUUCUCAGAGCUACAAACAUUUUAACCUGAGAAAUAU
rfam:Scleropages formosus scaffold9070, whole genome shotgun sequence.